UCGAGAAUCAUUCACAAUGGGGGAAACCCUGAUGGUGCGACGCCGCGUGGGGGAAUGAAGGUCUUCGGAUUGUAAACCCCUGUCAUGUGGGAGCAAAUUAAAAAGAUAGUACCACAAGAGGAAGAGACGGCUAACUCUGUGCCAGCAGCCGCGGUAAUACAGAGGUCUCAAGCGUUGUUCGGAAUCACUGGGCGUAAAGCGUGCGUAGGCUGUUUCGUAAGUCGUGUGUGAAAGGCGCGGGCUCAACCCGCGGACGGCACAUGAUACUGCGAGACUAGAGUAAUGGAGGGGGAACCGGAAUUCUCGGUGUAGCAGUGAAAUGCGUAGAUAUCGAGAGGAACACUCGUGGCGAAGGCGGGUUCCUGGACAUUAACUGACGCUGAGGCACGAAGGCCAGGGGAGCGAAAGG
rnacentral:rRNA from 1 species